UACGGGAGGAGCAAGCGUUUGUUCGGAUUUACUGGGCGUAAAGGGCGCGUAGGCGGCGUGACAAGUCACUUGUGAAAUCUCCGGGCUUAACUCGGAACGGUCAAGUGAUACUGUCGUGCUAGAGUACAGAAGGGGCAACUGGAAUUCUCGGUGUAGCGGUGAAAUGCGCAGAUAUCGGGAGGAACACCGGUGGCGAAGGCGGUUCUCUGGGGCCUUACCUGACGCUGAGGAGCGAAAGCGUGGGGAGCGAACAGG
rnacentral:rRNA from 1 species